rnacentral:rRNA from 1 species
GAGGAGAAACGGGUGGGUAGAGUGGAAGAGGGGCCAACGAGUUUUUUUUUAGGGGAAAGGGGUGUGCGGCGGCGCCGAACGAGACGGGCGGGAGAGGCGGCGGCAGAGAGACGGUCGGGGUCGGGGUCGGGGGCGGAACGAGGGAGAGGCGCGAGAGGUGGGGACUGCUGGUCGCGCCGGCGAGCACAGCUGGCGCAACAGCGAGGGGGGAGUGGAUCGUGACGGCGGCGAGGCCACCCCCUUCCAGGUCCGGCCGCACCGCCGCGCAGUGCCUCGGUGGGGGUUUGCGGGACGUCGAACGUCGAUCGGUGGUGGACCAAACAAGGAGAAGAACCGAAAACAUCCGAGGUACUAAACCCCCUUUUCUUUAAACCACUGGCUUGACACGACAAAACAAGUAGUUAGUAUCUGAGAUCACAUCAAAUGUAACUCAUAACCGUACGAAAGUACUAAAAAGACUAAAUCUGUAGUACGACAAAAACACUAUUCGACUGCUCACAUACAACGAUAAAAAAGCCACAGCCUCGCAACCUACGGACUUUCUUGUCCUGUACCGACUAAAAUGCCGUAAUGGGGUUCCUCGCCGUAACAAGGUGACUUACACAAUUCUAAACGCUCCGUGACUUGACUUUCCGGAUCAGCCAGCACCUCGUCUUGGACAAGGACGGCACUAACAGCUAGAGUAUCUCUUCUUCACACGCCUCUUUACAAACUUAGACUAGUAAAGUAGGAGUAUGACUUGUGAAAAUUAAAGGCGGUAGUUAAACGAUAAAGGAUGGUCUUUCUAUUAAAGGAAAAGAAGAACCGAAAACGUCCGAGGCAUUAAAACCCUUUUUAUUUAAAUCACUGGGUUCACACGACGAAAGAUAAGACUGGUUAAACCCUCCCCUUACAGUGUAACCUACGGACUUCCUUGUCCCUACAUGUACAUGACGAUGACGCGGCAUAACUGACACCCCAUUCGAAAAAAAGAAGGAGUGAGGCGGACCGAACUCUAGCUGGUACAUACAUCCAUGGUAGUAUACAAGAUCGUAUUUACUAGACCCCACCGGAGCCGCUCUCUGCGGUUAUUAGGGUAGCGAUCCACGACCCUAGGUCCCCCGUGGCAGUUCCUCGUUUCAGGAUUCUAGCUGGUGAGACUCAAAACGCGUGGGGUACCGGGGGAGGCCGGGUCAGAGGUAACUGGUAUCCCAAUCUAGCCGACAGAACGCGGCAGUACUCUGUGGGGAACGGGCGCUGGCCGAAGAAGUUGUGACUGUUCGCCUCGCGCGGUUCAACCGUGAGGUGCUAGGGUGGUUGCAGCUUCAUCUCACGUAGCGGGUGUUCCUGCGAUUCCGCGCCGGUUCGAUUUUCCCGUGAACAGUAGCACCACUACUUCUCUCCGCUCGAGCCAGGUGCGCGCUCAGAGGCUGUUAAUGUAGGUAUGCCUUCAGUGACAAGGGCCGUCUUACCACCUGUGCCGCUGGUCUACCUUUACCGGGAGGAACCGUUGGCACCACCGGUGUCGGACCGCGCCGUGUCUCGUGGCGGCGCAACUUCGACUGGACGUACAACCUGUUCACCACCUCAGACUUCCUUUAUCUCAACUCAGAAGUCAAUAAGGGGGACAAGGGGUUAAGAGGGAGGCGGAGGUUUAAGGGCCGGACUUCCUUUGUCCCCGUUGCCGUUGCCGUUGGUUGGUGUCGUUCUCGUCGUGGCGGAGGUUUAAGGCCCGGAAGUUUAUGGGGAGAGGGAGGGAGAGGCGGCGGGUUUGGGUUGAGGUUUUUAGAGGGUUGUAGUGUAGUCUCCCUAGCUAGUUUUUUCUUUCUAGCUAGUUCUUCCCUUCUUCUACCGGAGUUAGCCGUUGCCGUUCGGGCUACGGGUCCCGGUCCUCGCGGUCCGCCGCUCCGAGGACGGCGGCCGGCUCCACGGCGGAGGUGUGUACCUGCGCCCGGAGCACCACGACAAGCUGGAGGAUGCUGCUGCCCAGCUGCCUAAGGGGUGGACCUACGAGGGGCGGAUGGAGCAGGUGCCUCAGCUGCAGAUGCCGGUGGUGGGCGUCCUAGACGACGCCACGGUAGGCGGCCGCUGUAGCGGGCUGCCGUUCGCACGGAGGAUGAAGCACUUGGACCAUGCGGGUGAGUGGCGCUGCCUACGUUCUUCUUCGUCCCAGCACGGCCCCCCCAAGACCUUCAGCCUCGUGCGGGGGCAGGGGCAGCUUCGGCGGGGGCUGUUCUACUAGCCUUGGUUCGUCCGGAAGAGAAAGUAGAGGUUCCUCCGCCUCGUGUUCCCACCUGGGGCGCCGCCCAAGUAGUACGUGCUCGAGGAGGGGCCGGUCCGUCCUGCGGAGCGGCCGCCCCUGCUCGACCGCGAGAGUUUCCAGAUGGGCAGAGGCGCGCAGCGGUGGUUCUUCUCCGGGUCCAGGGUCCCUGUCCCUGGCUGGCGGUCGCGUUGUUCCUGGCGCCGGCGGAGGAGACGAGGUCGCGGCUGCAGAAGCGGCGGAGACGAGGUCGCGAGGACGCUGCAGAAGUCGUCGCGUUCUUCGUCGUCGCGGCAGAGGAGAGGCGGAGGAAGGGACCUCGGCGGCCGGAGGAGACGAGGCGGAAGGGACCUCCGGAGCAGAGAGCCCGGCCGUAGGAGACGCGGCCCCGGCCGUAGGAGAAGAGGCGGGGGGUAGGUCCCUAGUCGUAGCAGAGGUGCCGUGGCCGUCCCACGGCGGUUCUCCCACGAGGAGGACCUCCACCCGCUGAGGGGGGGCUCCCUUCCGGUGUUGUAAAGCACGGUGGUCCAGAUGGCGCGGUACCUCCAAGAACCUGGGCCCUCCGCACAGGGGUAGCUGACGCGACUGGAGAAGGACGAACUGUCGCCCUUCCCCUUCUCCGUCGCCUGCCGACGUCUCAAAACUCUUUUGAGACAGCGGGGCGGUACCCGUUUAAAUUUGAGACAACGACACAUUGUAAGUCUGUUUUUUAAACUAUCCUUUGAAAUCGACACUAAGUCAGCAAAAAACUCUAAGUCAUCAACGAAAUAAUGUUGAAUUAACUAACUUUAGGCCGAAUUAGUCACCGCUACUACAAUUUUGAAACCAAAAGAAGAGUUUUGUAAGCGACAACGGCUGACUUUUACACGGAGACCACCUUCCAAAAUUUUACAACGGCUGACUUCUAAGUCAUCAAGGGUUACAAACGUAAAAGAGGUUUCAACGAAACGAACCUCUUAGUAAUGGAAAACAAUCUGGUACAACCAAUGAAGAACUAAUACGUACGAAACAACAACCGAGUUAAAGUCUUUACGUUGAAGGAACCAAUUAAGUCAGACAUGUACAGACGACCAAUACAUAAACAAAGAGGGAAAAAACAAAACUCUUCCUCUUAGACAAAACUCCAGGUACAGAAAAACUUUAAAACUUUAUCAUUAGCUUAAAAACUUUAACUUUGUACCAACUAUCUCGUGUAAGUAUAAUAGAAGUAAUCUAUAUUUACGGUUGAACGUAAAAACAUGUCUGGUUUCUGAAAACCUCCCUCCGUGUUUAAGAAAGUUUCAACGUAGUAGGUUUACAACAACGAAAGAUCCCACACCAAGAACUUAACUACCUAGACCUCCUUUAAUCGUUGACAUAUUAUCCUUGUCUUGUCAUAGAAUGAUAAAAGGGGAAGUUAAACUUUUUAUCUGGUCAGACAGAAAUAGACACCGUCGCGACAUGUUAACCAUUGUUUUGAUGGGAGAAAAAAAUGAAGUCUAUACAAGAAUUUACUAACUCCUUGGAUCCGACUUUAAUCAUACGACCUAAUCACGGAAGCAUUCCUUAGAUCCGGGUAACAUGAAAUUAAGGAGCGUUAAAGAAACAAACACACAGUGGAGAAACCGAUACUAGUUCGUUGGUUUCAGAAGACAACUUGUUUUAGUUCGUUUUCGAACCUAACUCACGGGAAAUGGUACACAACAGUAAAAGUAUAUAUGACAGAGAACGACGAUAAGAGACCCGACACACCUUCGUGUACUUACCAUGAGGGAGACAUUUCUUUAUAUUCUAGUGAGGAAAUCACUAGAUUUGCGAGAAUAUAAAGAAAUGCCUCCCUCAUCAUAACAAAAAUUACCACGGCAAACCUACAGACCUUUACCGCGACCGCGGACGAGGAGUUCCUAGUGUACAACUUCUUCUACCUAGAGGAGACAGAUGUAGAGGUUUUGGACGACGGUUCUAACCCACCUGGUUUAGGGGGACACGAGUUCAGGUCCUCUCUCCGACUGGUACAAAACUAGGAACAUUGUAAACAAGUUGAUCACACUCCAAUAUCUCCAAAAUAAAAGAAAAGAUAAUGACUACAUAAUACAUAGCUUGGACUACAAAAACCCGAAG